rnacentral:rRNA from 1 species
ACUUAAAGGAAUUGGCGGGGGAGCACCACAACAGGUGGAGCCUGCGGUUUAAUUGGACUCAACGCCGGGAAACUCACCAGUUAAGACAGCUGAAUGAUAGUCGGGCUGAAGACUCUACUUGACUAGCUGAGAGGAGGUGCAUGGCCGUCGUCAGUUCGUACUGUGAAGCAUCCUGUUAAGUCAGGCAACGAGCGAGACCCACGCCAACAGUUGCUAGCUCGUCCUCCGGGAUGGAGAGGACACUGUUGGGACCGCCUCUGCUAAAGAGGAGGAAGGAAUGGGCAACGGUAGGUCAGCAUGCCCCGAAUUAACUGGGCUACACGCGGGCUACAAUGGGUGGGACAAUGGGUAUCGACACCGAGAGGUGAAGGCAAUCUCCUAAACCCAUCCGUAGUUCGG